rnacentral:rRNA from 1 species
UACAGGAGGGGGCAAGCGUUUAUUCGGAAUUAUUGGGCGUAAAGGGCGCGUAGGCGGCCUGGCAAGUGGAAGGUGAAAUCCCUCGGCUUAACCGAGGAACUGCCUCCCAAACUGCUUGGCUUGAGACCGGGAGAGGUGAGUGGAAUUCCCAGUGUAGCGGUGAAAUGCGUAGAUAUUGGGAGGAACACCAGUGGCGAAGGCGGCUCACUGGGACGUUACUGACGCUGAGACGCGAAAGCGUGGGGAGCAAACAGG